CCCUUAGAUGUUCUGGGCCGCACGCGCGCUACACUGAUGCAUUCAACGAGUUUUUCCUUGGCCGAGAGGCCUGGGCAAUCUUUUAAAAGUGCAUCGUGAUAGGGAUAGAUUAUUGCAAUUAUUAAUCUUGAACGAGGAAUUCCUAGUAAACGCAGAUCAUCAAUCUGCAUUGAUUACGUCCCUGCCCUUUGUACACACCGCCCGUCGCACCUACCGAUUGAAUGGUCCGGUGAAGCCUCGGGAUUGUGGCGAGUUCCCUUUAUUGGGAGUUUGUCGCGAGAACUUGUCUAAACCUUAUCAUUUAGAGGAAGGUGAAGUCGUAACA
rnacentral:rRNA from 1 species